rnacentral:rRNA from 1 species
UGGGAUAACUAUGGUUAAGGAACUCGGCAAAUUGCCUCCGUAACUUCGGGAGAAGGAGGACCCCAGUAGCGUGAUGAGACUUGCUCUCUGAGCGUGAAGGGGUGGCACAAAAUUGAGGGAAGCGACUGUUUACCAAAAACACAGCAGCGUGCUAAGCCGUAAGGCGCUGUAUACGCUGUGACUCCUGCCCGGUGCUGGAAGGUUACGGGGAUGGGUUAGUCCUUCGGGACGAAGCUCUGAACCUAAGCCCCAGUAAACGGCGGCCGUAACUAUAACGGUCCUAAGGUAGCGAAAUUCCUUGUCGGGUAAGUUCCGACCUGCACGAAUGGAGUAACGACUUCCCUACUGUCUCAACCAUAGACCCAGCGAAAUUGAAGUACGAGUAAAGAUGCUCGUUAGCUGCAGAAGGACGGAAAGACCCCGUGGACCUUUACUAUAACUUGAUGUUGUGUUUUGUCAUAUGUUGUGUAGGAUAGGUGGGAGACUUGGAAGCAUGGACGCUAGUCUGUGUGGAGUCAUCGUUGAAAUACCACCCUGCAUAUGGUGAGGCUCUAACCUAGACCCGUUAUCCGGGUUGGGGACAGCGUCAGGCGGGUAGUUUAACUGGGGCGGUUGCCUCCUAAAGAGUAACGGAGGCGCCCAAAGGUUCCCUCAGCCUGGUUGGCAAUCAGGCGUUGAGUGCAAUGGCAAAAGGGAGCUUGACUGCGAGACCUACAAGUCGAGCAGGAGCGAAAGCUGGGCAUAGUGAUCCGGCGGUUGCGUGUGGAAGCGCCGUCGCUCAACGGAUAAAAGGUACCCCGGGGAUAACAGGCUAAUCUUGCCCAAGCGUCCAUAGCGACGGCAAGGUUUGGCACCUCGAUGUCGGCUCAUCGCAUCCUGGGGCUGAAGCAGGUCCCAAGGGUUGGGCUGUUCGCCCAUUAAAGCGGUACGCGAGCUGGGUUCAGAACGUCGUGAGACAGUUCGGUCCCUAUCCUCUGCAGCCGGAGGUGAAUUGAGGAAAGCUGUCCCUAGUACGAGAGGACCGGGACGGACGCAGCUCUCGUGUGCCAGUUGUCCUGCCAAGGGCAUGGCUGGUUAGCGACCUGCGGAAAGGAUAACCGCUGAAAGCAUCUAAGCGGGAAGCCUCUUCCAAGAUGAAUUCACCCACAGGGUUAACCUGGUAAGGCCCGUGGUAGACCACCACGUUGAUAGGCCGGAAGUGUAAGCGUGGCAACACGUUCAGCUGACCGGUACUAAUCGGCCGAGGGCUUGAGUG